UCGUCAUUACUCAUUAGUGAAUGCGCGUGUACAUGAAAUUGUUUUUUACAGUUUCAAUAUUAGCUUGUAAAUCUCUGAAUGGUAAAACUUGCCAAUACUCCAAUAAUACGUUUCAAAAAAAGACAAAAAAAGCUUUAGUUUUGCAGAGUUAAAUUCUCAAACGUGUAAGGCACUAAUUAGAUGAAAGUAUCACGAAAUUAUUUGAAUAAACCACAUCGCAUAUAUGGGGGGCGAAUGUCCUAAAGAGGGGCGAUAUUCCUAGGGUAUUCGCCCCACCCACCUGGGAGGCGAUAUUCCUAGGAUAUCCCCCCCCCCCCCAGGAGCGAUAUUCCUAGGAAUAUCGCCACGUUUUGAGAGGGGGGGGGGCGAAUCUCCUGGGGGGCGACCUUUUUAAAAUUCUAUCUUGC